AGCACGUAUGAAACGAUUAGGUCCGUCGCCAAACAUGUAUACCCAAGCGACAGUGGCAUUGUCUUGCCAGUGACCCGGAAUUGCUCCAAGUAUUCGCAAAGUCUGUGGACAAGCUGAUGGACAAGACCUUCACGUUGUGCAACUUUUCCAUUACAAAACAAUGGGUUCAAUGCACCUCUACGACGACGUUUCAGAUAAUAUGGGUACUUAUCCCGCGGAGAGCUAUACGAAUAUAGCACACGGUAAUAGUCAGGAUCAUCUAUAUGUAAUUCGUAUGGGCUAAUCCGGACGAUUGGCCCUGGGGAGAUAGACAACUCCUUAAUCUUGAACGUGUAUCGGCCCCUGCGAACAGCAUCAUAAUAAAAUUCAUACCAUAGCGUCGCGGCUGCUAACUUCGGCCCUGGGAACUUUGCCAAUGGGGAAAGAUAUAACCUAUAUAUCACACCACCGGUAAGGUAAAUUAUGAAAAAUGAACAUAUUGAAACAAGAACACCUUGAGUAAAGGUUAAAUGACCCGCUUCGUUCAGCAUGGUCACUGCUAGCCCGCAACCAUAUCCCCUGGGAUAGCAUUCAAACAUGCUGUGCAAUAAGUGAGAAUAACCUGCGUACAUACUGCGCAGAAUGGACCCCUGGUGAGAGCGUUGGAAUAUUUCAAUGUAUUCUUUUAACUCACAUCAACAUUUGAAGACGCCC
rnacentral:sRNA from 2 species